CAAAAAUAGAAAAAGUAUCCAAAGUGAUUAUAUUAUAGAUUUAUUAUAUUACAAAGACGGAAGAUUUCAUUUUCUUCAUGUGGAAAGGAGCUGAACAAGCCGUGGCUAAAGUUAGCCGCGCUAUGUGAGAGAAAUUCAAUGUCAAAUUAGCAAGAUGACAAAAAAAAAAAUUGGCUGGGUGGGAAAAAAAAGGUGUUGGAAGAAUUGAGCGCACAUGCCGCAUGGGACCAAGAAGCUCAAUUCCAACUUCCCGUGUGCAAUAUUGGACCGGAACGUUUGGCGAGGGCACGGCAUGAAAACGAUGGCUGAUUUUCCAAAGGCUUGUGGAGUUAAAAGUCCAUAUUGUUUGGAUUUACAGCAGAUGGUAAAAAAAGAAGAAGCGUUGAUAGCAUCGGGAAGUAGGUCACCAAAUCCUCAGGAGGAUGACAGGAAAAAGAGGGAGAAAAAGAGAAGCAGGUGGAAACGAUCGGAUGGGAGGAUAUCCGUCACAUGUGAUGGAUGAGAAGGCGAACAGGCGCAAAAAGGUUUGAGAUUUUUCUCGCAUUCCGGUUGGGUUGUUUGUCAGCAAUGACUCAGAUUAACAAGUCGAGGAACAAAUAAGAAGAGACAAAUUGGAUCCCGCUUCUCCUCACCCCCACCCCAGGAACUUGAAAGUGGAGGAAUCCUGUUCCACAGAAGGAUGGCAAAUGAGAUUUUUUUUUUUCAAGAGCAAAAUUCUACGUCAGCCUUAGCGUCGGCUUCCGGGGGAAAGAGUGACAUCAUGAAAAAGCCAUGUACUUUCCACCCGGCUGAGAGAUUCAAAUCUGAAUGAAAGUCCUACUAUGCAUAGUUGGAGACAAAAACGUGGGAUCUUCAUCUUAACUGGCAAUGCCAAAAGGACGCAUUGUGAUGGCAGAAAUGAGACACGGAAUCCUGCUACUCCUAAGAGUUCUGCGGGCAAUGGUAUCAGAAGAGGGACCCUCAUCUGAGAGGCCACCAGUCAGUCUUCACAAAGUAUCAAGAGUAUCUGUAGUAAACUUGGAUCUAUUGCCCCAAACGUCUGUGCAGUAAUUUAGACAUGCUGAUAUUUUGGGAGAAACAAUAUUGAUGCGCCACAUGCAAACGAUCAAUUUGGUCCUCCCUUCCGGCGACAAGACGCCGCCGCCGCGCAGGUGCGGACGUGCGGAUGAGACAUACGUCCCAGCACGGCACACUUGAUGAAGUCCAUAUGGACGCUGGUUGGUGUCUGGAGGAAAUCACUCGGCUGCCAAAUACUCAAGCUGCUUCACAGUCACUCUUCCUCCUCUUGCGCUUCUGCCCCCAUAAAGAAGACAACAUUCUGAAAACUUGAUUGAUUUUUCACUGUCAAAUGUUAGCCGUUACGGCAGCGCUUUGCUUCUUGUAAGAACGUAUGACAUUUGCGUGUGUCUGUGAUGAUGACAGAUAUGAAAUGAAGUGUGAAUGAGUGUAGGACGUUUUUAAAAAAUGAAAUUGGAUCACUUACAAUAGUUAUAGAAUAGCCUCGUUAUAUCAUGAUAA